rnacentral:rRNA from 1 species
GGAGACGCCCGAAGCCGAUUAUCUAACCUUUUGGAAGAAGUCGUCGAAGGUGGAAUCAAUAACUGGGGUGAAGUCGUAACAAGGUAGCCGUAUCGGAAGGUGCGGCUGGAUCACCUCCUUUCUAAGGAGAAUUACCUACUGUUUAAUUUUG